UAAGACGAACCGUGCAAACGUUGUUCGGAAUCACUGGGCUUAAAGGGCGCGUAGGCGGGCCAGACAGUCUGUGGUGAAAGCCUCCAGCUUAACUGGAGAAGUGCCGUGGAUACUGCUGGCCUCGAGGAGGGUAGGGGCAUCUGGAACGGUCGGUGGAGCGGUGAAAUGCGUUGAUAUCGACCGGAACUCCGGUGGCGAAGGCGAGGUGCUGGGCCCUUUCUGACGCUGAUGCGCGAAAGCCAGGGGAGCAAACGGGAUUAGAUACCCCGGUAGUCCUGGCCCUAAACGUUGAGGACUAGGUAGUGGACUUACAUGGGUUCACUGUCGAAGCAAAAGUGCUAAGUCCUCCGCCUGGGGAGUAUGGUCGCAAGGCUG
rnacentral:rRNA from 1 species